UAACCCUCAAGCCUAGCUUGGUGUUGGAGCCUGCCUCUGGGCAGCUCUUAAAAUCAGUGGCGGUGCCGUCUGGCUCUAAGCGUAGUAAUUCUUCUCGCUACAGUGUCCCGGCGGUUGCUUGCCAACAACCCCAAAUUUUUCUAU
rnacentral:misc_RNA from 1 species